rnacentral:rRNA from 1 species
UACGAAGGGGGCUAGCGUUGUUCGGAAUUACUGGGCGUAAAGCGCGUGUAGGCGGGCCGUUAAGUCGGGGGUGAAAGCCCAGAGCUCAACUCUGGAAUUGCCUUCGAUACUGGCGGCCUGGAGCAUGAUAGAGGCGAGUGGAAUUGCGUGUGUAGAGGUGAAAUUCGUAGAUAUUUGCAGGAACACCAGUGGCGAAGGCGACUCGCUGGAUCAUUGCUGUCGCUGAGACGCGAAAGCGUGGGGAGCAAACAGG